GCUGUAGUUCAGUUGGUUAGAGCGUCAGAUUGUGGUUCUGAAUGUCGUGGGUUCGAGUCCCACUAG
rnacentral:tRNA from 1 species